rnacentral:rRNA from 1 species
GACGAACGCUGGCGGCGUGCUUAACACAUGCAAGUCGAACGGAAAGGCUCCAGCUUGCUGUCUUCCUCGAUUGCCGAACGGAUGAGUAAAACGUGGGUAAACUGCCCUUCACUCUGGGAUAAGCCUGGGAAACUGGGUCUAAUACUGGGUAUGACCUUUCUCCUUAUGUGGUUUGGUGGAAAGUUUUUCGGUGUAGGAUGAGCCCGCGGCCUAUCACCUUGUUGUUGGGGUGAUGUCCUACCAAGGCGACGCCGGGUAGCCGGCCUGAGAGGGGGAUCGGCCACAUUGGGACUGAGAUACGGCGCAGACUCCUACGGGAGGCAGCAGUGGGGAAUAUUGCACAAUGGGCUGAAGCCUGAUGCAGCGACGCCGCGUGAGGGAUGACGGCCUUCGGGUUGUAAACCUCUUUCAGCAGGGACGAAGCGUAAGUGACGGUACCUGCAGAAGAAGCACCGGCUAACUAUGUG